AGGUUCUUCUGCUGGUGAUCUCUCCUUUGUGGAGUUUUUUCUUUGGAGAUGGAACCUUGUGAGCAGUGCAUCUCUCUGAGGAAGAGCCCUGCCUCGAUACCUGCAUUAAGGGGUAGCAACACACAUUGAUGGGAACAGAGCUCUGCAGUCUGAUAGGAGUGGCCGCAGUGGGAUCUGUCCUUCCUGCUGCCCGGAGCUGAAGCUGGGCCUUGUUGCUUGUAUCAUCGACUGCAGCAGAUGCAUUGUCUUGCUCUGGGUUCCAUCACACUGUGAAGUGGAAGUGGCAUCACGGAGCAGCCCUGCACGGAGCAGCCCUGCAUCACCUCCUGGCAACCAAAGCCCCUGCUUGGCAGAUUCUGUGGAAAGCAUCAGUCCCCAGAUGCUCCGGGUUCUCCUCGGCUCUGUGAUAAUGAACACACACCCAGCAGACGAGCAGGCAGUGCUGCUCCUGCCCAGCCUCGCUCCUGGAGGUGGCUCAGUGCGUCGGAUCCAGGGCUGACCUGAGUGUCAGUUCUCUGCUGGAGACGGCAGCAGCUCAUAACAGCCAUUGCUCCAUGGCGUCGUGCUGCCACUUCAGUCAACAGCCUGCAUUUUCCAGCAGAGUUGAUGUAAAAGAUCAAUGACUUGCAUGAAGAUGUGUAAGGAUGCAAAGGCACAGAGAUGCUCCGCUGCUGCUUCCAGGAGCUGAGGUGUUGAAGACAUAAAUCCAUACAACAGAGGAGCAUCGCAUGGGAAACACUGCCUUCAGGAGAGUUGUAAUGGGUAAACUCGGGCUGAACUGAAUGCUGGCUUCUUUCCAGGUAAGUCACCCUCAGCAGAGAAGCCCAUUUGUUUUGAACGGUGUUGUUUUUUAGCUGGUGGUGGGUGGCUCCAUCCUGCAGAGCUGCCUGUGUUCAUAGAGCUAAUGUGAGCCAGGAGAAAAGGAAAGUUCUGCCAGAGGCUUGCUGAUACAAUGCUCGGGUCAUUCACAGAGUGCUGUAACAGCUGUAACAACCCAUUGUAUUUCCUGCAGACUGAGGUAUGGCUCUGCUUGUUUGGAUGCCUCUGAAUUCUUCAGUCCUGCAGAAUUCCAGUUUGGAACCUGGCUCCCCAUCCCUGGGCAGUCCUGCAGUUCCCACCAGCGGCACAUCACCUCCAGCACGUUUUCCCGAGUAGGGAUGCAGCUCUCAGCUCAGUGCUGCAAUGCUGUUUUUGUCUCUUCUCCAUUUCUUCUUAUUGCUCAGUAAAUAGUAAAAGCAUUCCUAAUUGGAAAAAGAGGCUUCAAAGAAGAAAUUGCUUCUUAUUCACUACAUUCCCCCACACUUGGGAUAUCGAUGUACUUUUUGGUAAGCCCCCCCUCCCCUUUUUUAAGGAAAAGUGGAGUUCCAGCUUCUAUUUGUGCAUAAUCUGCUGAGCAGCAAGGGGAGAUGGCAUAAAAAGAAAUCUCUGGAGUAACACAGGGAGAAAAACAAACUGAUAACUCCUGACAGAUUGAUGGCUCCUUCCUUCAUCUAAAUCUUUACAGAUUAGCAUGUCUCUUCUUUCACAGAUAUGUUUGUUUGAACUAUGUCAUCUAACCUAAUCUGUACAGGAAGUAUAUUUAUCCUAGAGCAGCGGGGCAUUUGUACUGCUUGCUUGUCACCAAGAGUAAUGAACAGGAGAGUGUUUUGCUGAUGAAGCUGACAAUCUCCAGAAGCUGCUUCCUGCCUUUGUUUGGUGACCAGCCCUCCUGCACGUGAGACAAGUUAUCCUCUGCUGUUUGGUAUUCAGCUGUGGAAGGAGUCCUCCCGCAGUCCUGCCAGGUGUCCUGGUUUCUCUGCAUCUGAUUCUCCCUUUUUCAGUAACUUUGGUUACUUCCUUUGCUACCUUUCAUCUACCGAUUUCGUAGCACUCUACGAUUGUCAGGAGUCAUUUGAAUUCUGAUCCUGCCCUCAGAAGUCCCUGCAACCCUUCCAGCCAUCACCAAUUGUACCCGUGUCACCUCUGCUGCAGCACUGGAGCCUGCACAGGGGCACCUGGGAGCCAUUCAGCCGCUCUUCAUCUUCACAGGGGGCACUCGGAACACUUUGGUGAUUUUCACUGUAUUUUUAUGUUAAUUUUAUUUAGACUUUGCUUGUUGAGCUUUACUUGUGAGCCCACAUUCGGGAGUUGUGCAUGGCACCUUGCUCAGGUGUUGUGUUUUGGCAGCAAUGAGCUCGUUUUCCCCCCCCAGCACAUUCCCUCCCUGCCAUGGCCUAACCCUAACCCUGACCCCUUCCCUGCCCAAAUCCUCCUGAGGUUUGACUUCUUUUACUGUUUAUUUCCUCUUGAGAAAUGUGUAAACUCACCUUGGCUACACCUCUUGGGCCACUGCCUCUCUCCAAGAUGACGACAACCUGACUGGAUUACUGGUGUUACAAGGCCAUGUGAAACCAAAUCUUUCCUGUGUUGUAGAUUUCACUGAAAAUCUAACUUGAAAAUCUCAUUUGCUGCUGAAAAGAUCUUACCCUUACAAAGGAGAUUAGUCCUGUUCAGAAGUUUUUGGACAACUGUUUACCACAUCCAAGGCAGAGAAGUUCUUUGGGAUCCUCCAUGUGACUUGAGUGGGAGUUCAAGCAAACCUUCUGCCACAAAGAUAGCCAAAAUCAAUACUUUGAUUCAUCCCAGGGAAUGGAAAGUGUGAUAAUGUGCUGAAUGCUACUUUGGCUUCUGAUGUACUUCUUACAUUAUAAGAACUGAUGAAGCAUUUAAUGGGAGAGUAGAGAAAAAACAACGAAUCAGGGAGUGUUCCCCUAGGCUGCUGAGUGCAUGUGGUGUGAUAAAAUGCCAUUAUUAAUCUCAGCUGGGGGCAAAUGAUGGAUUCACAGUAGAAGGAAUCAAAGCCCAUGCAAACAAACCACAAGCACUUGGAAAAACAUCUCAAACAUAAAUGCAAAAAUUACAGAUGUUACAUGAAGCUCUGUGGGAAAUGGUCCUGAAUACAGCCAAGCGCUGAGCAAACUGUUGAAUGCAAUUAUUUCUCUUCUCUCUCCUUCCUCGGGUGUCUCUCAGCCAGGUGUGCUGUUCCCCAUUCCCAGUUGCUUUGCUGCACUGCUGCUCCCCUUUGCAUAGCCUGCAGUCUCUCCCUCGUGUCCCGCUUUGUUUACAGUGCAGGAGCCAGGGCUGCACAUUGCCUUCCUGCAGGGGCAGAGGUGGCAGAGCUCCCAGCCCCAUGGCCACGGUUCCCCCGGGCCUUGGGGAGCUGUGGGUCUGUCCCUGCUGGGGCUCUGCUCAGUGCUGUGUGCUGAAGAGCAGCAGCUUGGGAAGGCCAUCCAGAAAAGGUACUUCUGCAAUGCUGUGAUUAGUUUGGGCUGAGUACAUAUUAUUAAUUUAAUCUUAAAUCAAUUUAGAGCGUAAAUAACGAAGCACCUCUUGAGCCAGCAAGAGUCGAGGUGUGUAGUGCAGCAUAUGGAAUGGAAAGAGCAGCUCCCCUUGUUGUGUCAGUUCCUUGCAGGGCAGCAGUAAGUCACCCUUGUUGCUGGCUCACACUGCUCUCAGAUCCUUGAAGUCAUCUCCCCCCAGCUGAACAUACACCACUGUUGUCAAAGCAACGCCCUCCUCUUCAGAAAGAGCACCGAAUUUCUGCACUGCUUUUAACUUCAACAAAAGAGGGUGCUGCAAAGAGCAAUAGCUGGGGAUGGAAGUUACUCUUCCACUGACUCGGAUGAACUGCUGCAAAGAGAAACCUCCGAGAGCCGAGGGUUCCCUGUCUGCAGCCUUCUGGUGCUGAAAAGGAGCUGGGUAAAUCUUCCUUCAUUCCCAUGCAGAUAUCACCUCGUAUUUCUGAUCUGAAUUUCACAUUCUGUCUUCUGGGAACUGUGAUGCUUUUUUGCUCUGAAAUGAUGCAAUUACAAUGAUAUGUGUGCUGCUACCGCUGCUCUCCUGCACUGAGGGCCACGUUUUCUAACUCCUGAGACGAUAUGGGGAGGUUUAGCACAAUUGCAUCCAAUAAAACCAACCGCUGCUAUGAUGGCAAAGCUCUUCACAAUGCCUCAGAUCUGUAAGUCACACAUGAAGCCCAUCAGUUUUCUGUAGCUGUUGGAUGGGAAUGAAACAGAGAUCAGUCAUUCAGCACAGCACCUGACCGCCCUCUGCCCCUCCAUGGAGUGCUGCUCGCUGUGCUCUGGCCCACCUCACCUUGGGCUGCACAUGCGGCUGUGAUCCCCUGUGGGGUGUUAUUUCACAACAGGAAAUUCUGUGCUCUGAACAGCCAGAAUCCCUCGUCAGCACACUGUUAAACAAAUACGGUCUUUUUCUGAUGGUCAGAUUUAUAAGGUUGAUUGCGACUGUCUGGAGAGGGACUUGAGCUGUGUGAGCUGUUGGCUCAGUGCUGUUGCUCCUGCUGUCCCUCUCUCCUGUUUUCCUUGCACGCAGGCAGCCUUCCCUGUAAUGAAUGGCCCUGUGCCCACCAUCGCUUCGUUGCAGCAUCAGGAAGAAACAGAUAGAUGUUGCCAUUUACCUGGGUGGCUGAGAAGCAAUUUCAAGCGAUGGAAGUUUGGGCCCAGCAGUGUUCAUCAUGUCGGCUCUAGGAGAGAAAUUAGUCACAGUCUCUGCUGAAGGUGUUGUUUGCAGUCCCUCCUGGUUUCCUACGGACCAGGCUGUGCAGAAAGCUAUGGAAGCAGUGGCACAUUCAGGCUGCAGGACAGCAUGGCUGAGAGUUUGGAACUCUAUUCCUACUCCUGCUUUUCUGACUGAAAGGAUGGAAGUGCACCACACAUGCCUUCAAGGUCUGGAGAUUUCUCUGAGUCAGCUUAAUGUAAACUAAAAUUCAUUCCUUAACCUGCAUGGCUUCUGCUGAGGGACCACUGCUCCUCUGCCCAGUGCUGUGACAGAAAUUUCCUGUGCUUUUUUGAGGUAAGAGCAAAAAUAUUUGAGUUGUUCUUACACGUGUACUGUUUGCCCAUACUGAUGGAAAGAAUGUUCUGUGCUUACCAUAACUGCUAGCAGCACAGAUUUCAUAGGAUGAAAGAGCAAAACAACACAGAAGUGUCGGGGGUUUCAGCCGGAGGAGACUGAACUCCAUACAGAGAGUUCUGUAGGUGUAGCUCCCAGCUAUCUGUUGCCUCAUCAAAGAUGCACUGUACAAAGAUUUCUGGUCUGUGCUCUGGCCUUGAAUGGAGGUUUGUGGCUGCUCGUGCCAUGCUUCCCUUUCAUCUCAAGGUAACAGGAAAAUUACUUCUGCUGCUCCUUCCUCUUCAUAUUCAUUCAUCAUUUCCAUAUGGUAACUGUGCCGUGGUGCCGCGUGCUGUGCAGCUCAGCUGCGCUGGGAGCUGCCAACGUUAGAAUCAAUUUUUGCUCUGAAGCAGCAGUGAGGAGCUGCUUCGUAUCGCGCUGCAAGGAAAUGAGCACUGGCUCGAAAGCAGUUGGUUCUGUUUUCCCAUUCCUCAUAUCUCCUUGGGAUCUUGGAAAGUUUUUUUGAUCAUCUUGGACUGAAAGUAUGAGCUUUUGAUGAUUUUCUAUGGAUACCAUUUGGGGGUUACUUUUCUGUGUAUAGCCAAUAGCAUAUUUUGUGGGGUCACAGUUCACAGUUGUGAAUCAACUUACUUCAUUUCUGCCACUACUGAGUCCAAAUGCGAGGAGCUGUGUGAUAAUUGCAGGGUGGAAUGGUAAAGUCUGGCACAGAUCUGACUUUUUAGUUUCCCUGUUGUGUGUCACAAGUCAGUCUAACUAACAUGCAGGUGUUUUGGUCUACAGCUGGUGGCUGCCAUGGUGAUGCCAAAGGGCUCAGAUCUGCAGUUAAUAAAGACCCAGACAUGGGUCGAUGGAGCUCUUCUAUCCCCUCUGAUAAAGAGAUACCUGGGAGCACAGCAAGCUUCUCCUGCUGAGACAGAGAAAGUGGUUGUGGACCAGCUGGUCUGUCUGGGCCAGGGCAGCAGUACCCAAAGGUUUCUGUGCCUGGGCAGUGGUGGUAGCAGAAGAUAGGGGCAUGUGAGCCCCCAUCUCUGGGUUGGGCCUGGGUCUGGGCCAGGAACAUCCCAGGACAGCUGCCCUGGAGCUGGAGGUGUUGGCUCCAACUUUGGAGCCAGGUGCUGUCUGGGGGUUGAUGGGGGGAGCAGCACCAGCACUGGGCCAGUUUGUGUUUCUCACCACUGCCAACAGAAUUGCUUCCCCACAUCGUGCUGCACUGGGAUCCCAGCUCUGUGCCACAGCCAGAAUCCCACUGCAGGAGAGGGGGCUGUCUGACGCCAAGAACACGACUGGCAGUGCUGAGGCGGCGGCUUUCCAAACCAGAAUGUUACUGACUGCCAUGUGGGAGCUCAGCUCUCCCCCAGCCCUCACUGCUGUCUGUUCCUCUGGAGCACUCAGGAGGCUCUGCAGGCUGCACCCACAGGAGGGAUUGCACUCAUGGAUCAGAUGCCACAGCACAGACAGGAAAGCUGGGCACAGCAAAACACGGAGAAGCAGAGGCAGAAGAUGUAGGGAAAAAAAGAAAGAUAUUUGAAUUUGUUACUAGGAGGAGUGAAAUAAACAUGGGAACAUUUCCCAGGAGCAGAGCUUGUUAUGGUAUAUCUGUAAAAUGGCAGAGGGUCACAUGGAUGGUAUUUGCAGAAACAUGUCACUCUCAGCCAUGAGCUGUGGUGCUGCUGCUCUGUGCCAGCUGGAUGAAACACACCAGAGAAAUUCACUGCACAGAGCUGUGCAUUUCCAACGUGUCAUGGUGAAAGAUUAUUGCAGCCACAGCGUUUAAGUACAGUCAUUUGACAAAGGCAAUUAUGAGAAUAUUAAUUGGGAAAGGUUAACUUCGAAGAACUGUGGAAUGUUUGCUCCCAUUGGUAUUGAAGUGCGGUUGCAGGUAUCUCUUGCUAAGAAACUUGAAGUCUGGGUGCACAUUAACACAAGGCACAUUUCCAUCUCUUCACAGCAAUGACUUGGCCUGCACGAUUUGGAUUCAGAACGAAAUACACAGAGUGCAGACAGUCACUGCAGGACGGGGCUCCGGCAGUUGGCACAAAUGAGUGAGUCCAGGCUCUGCUUUCGUACAGAUCCCUGGGACCUCACAUUAGGAAACCCCCCCUCCUGUAGCAGCAUCUUGUCAGCACGUGCACUGAGAAAUACCCACCUUUAAGCUGGUGCUUCCAUACAGGCGCUCACACAGUGCUCUCACACACUUCAUAUAAAAAUGUGUCUCCAUUCUUUGAGGAACAAACACAACACUUUUACUUGGUUUGACCCACUCAGGUCCCUCUGUGCCAGGCAGUACUGGAAACACUGGGAGCAGCCCAUGGGACCAAGCUGUGCUCGGACGUGAUGGCCCUGAUGUGCCUGUACUGCCCCAGAGCAGUGCUGGCAGGGGUCUGAAUGGCACUGCACCCCUGGGUGCAUCUCUGGUCUCUAAUCUGUCAAAAAUCGUGCAUGCAGGAGUUACCAGGAAGCGUAUCCUGGGACAGAUGGUGCCAAAGAAGUGUGCUCUGUGUCAUGUUGC